rnacentral:tRNA from 1 species
UUGCGAGAUGGCCGAGGCCUAGGCGGAAGAUUGUAGCUCUUUUCACGGAGCAGUUAGCUUCUCUCGUAAU